rnacentral:rRNA from 1 species
CACCAGACUCCUACGGGAGGCAGCAGUGAGGAAUAUUGGUCAAUGGGCGAGAGCCUGAACCAGCCAAGCCGCGUGAGGGAUGACUGCCCUAUGGGUUGUAAACCUCUUUUGUAUGGGGGGAAUAAGCUUUACGAGUAGAGUGAUGACAGUACCAUACGAAUAAGCAUCGGCUAACUCCGUGCCAGCAGCCGCGGUAAUACGUAGGGAGCGAGCGUUGUCCGGAAUUACUGGGUGUAAAGGGAGCGUAGGCGGGCGAGAAAGUUGAAUGUUAAAUCUACCGGCUUAACUGGUAGCUGCGUUCAAAACUUCUUGUCUUGAGUGAAGUAGAGGCAGGCGGAAUUCCUAGUGUAGCGGUGAAAUGCGUAGAUAUUAGGAGGAACACCGGCGGCGAAGGCGGCCUGCUGGACCGUAACUGACGUUGAGGCUCGAAAGCGUGGGGAGCAAACAGGAUUAGAUACCCUCGUA